AGAAAACAUGAAUAAAAGUCAAAUUUACCAUAAUUCCGAUAUCAAAUCGGAGAUCAAACACGAGUUUUUUUAGUUUUCAAUUUCCUAUUUACAUUUCAAAUUAUUGCAUGAGCACGUAUAUUUAAGAUUAUAUACCAAGAUAUUGUUUAACUAAAAAAACUAGAUACAAAUUGAAAUUCAAAAACAGAACACUGUAAUUUGAUAUUAAAUCUACUAGCAAUCGUCGUACGAAUAUUUAUUUUAAAAAUAUAUUAUUCGAUUUGUUUUUAUUUUUUUUAUUUAACAAUUUAACAAAAAUUAUGUCCUAGGUUAAUGGGGAUAUGGGUGCUGCCACUGUUAUAGUUAAUUCAAUAUUUACAUAUAUCUAAGCAAUAAUUGCUAACGAAAAACAAUU